rnacentral:rRNA from 1 species
GACGGAGGAUGCAAGCGUUAUCCGGAAUUACUGGGCGUAAAGCGUCCGCAGGUGGCAGUUCAAGUCUGCUGUCAAAGCCCGGGGCUUAACUUCGGAAAGGCAGUGGAAACUGAACAGCUAGAGUAUGGUAGGGGCAGAGGGAAUUCCUGGUGUAGCGGUGAAAUGCGUAGAGAUCAGGAAGAACAUCGGUGGCGAAGGCGGUCUGCUGGACCAUAACUGACGCUCAGGGACGAAAGCUAGGGGAGCGAAUGGG